GAGCGGAUUGAAAGGAGCUUGCUCCUGGAUUCAGCGGCGGACGGGUGAGUAAUGCCUAGGAAUCUGCCUGGUAGUGGGGGACAACGUUUCGAAAGGAACGCUAAUACCGCAUACGUCCUACGGGAGAAAGCAGGGGACCUUCGGGCCUUGCGCUAUCAGAUGAGCCUAGGUCGGAUUAGCUAGUUGGUGAGGUAAUGGCUCACCAAGGCGACGAUCCGUAACUGGUCUGAGAGGAUGAUCAGUCACACUGGAACUGAGACACGGUCCAGACUCCUACGGGAGGCAGCAGUGGGGAAUAUUGGACAAUGGGCGAAAGCCUGAUCCAGCCAUGCCGCGUGUGUGAAGAAGGUCUUCGGAUUGUAAAGCACUUUAAGUUGGGAGGAAGGGUUGUAGAUUAAUACUCUGCAAUUUUGACGUUACCGACAGAAUAAGCACCGGCUAACUCUGUGCCAGCAGCCGCGGUAAUACAGAGGGUGCAAGCGUUAAUCGGAAUUACUGGGCGUAAAGCGCGCGUAGGUGGUUCGUUAAGUUGGAUGUGAAAUCCCCGGGCUCAACCUGGGAACUGCAUCCAAAACUGGCGAGCUAGAGUAUGGUAGAGGGUGGUGGAAUUUCCUGUGUAGCGGUGAAAUGCGUAGAUAUAGGAAGGAACACCAGUGGGCGAAGGCGACCACCUGGACUGAUACUGACACUGAGGUGCGAAAGCGUGGGGAGCAAACAGGAUUAGAUACCCUGGUAGUCCACGCCGUAAACGAUGUCAACUAAGCCGUUGGGAGCCUUGAGCUCUUAGUGGCGCAGCUAACGCAUUAAAGUUGACCGCCUGGGGGAGUACGGGCCGCAAGGUUAAAACUCAAAUGAAUUUGACGGGGGGCCCGCACAAGCGGUGGGAGCAUGGGGGUUUAAUUCCGAAGCAACG
rnacentral:rRNA from 1 species